UCCGUCCCAGGGCAGGGCAGGGGGAGCUGCCCCACACAGGCAGUGGGGUGGGGGCUCAGCACCCCAAACCAGACCUGACAUCCUAAUGACACUUGCCAAGGAUUUUUCCUGGGCUGCAGCUUCCAGCCUGCGUGAGCAUCAGCCGGCUGGAGAUUAAACAAUAUCCUUUAAUAGCAAGAGGCAGCCCGGUUUGCAGCAGCGCGCUCCGCAGCGAGGCCCGCUCGCAGGCCGCGCCAGGGCCGCGGCGGCUGGGAUGCCCUGAUUUGGAAGUCUCUUGCUCGACCCAGCCGCUCGAAAUGCGGCUGUUUCCUACGCAGAGGCCAAGGGAGGCUUUUAUUUAGAGGAUGCUUGGCCUGCUCAGUGUAGAGGGGAAGUGGAAAGGCACCCGCUCUGCUCCUGGGCUCCGCCGGCUGUGACUUUGACCGGGAGCAGACCCAGGGGCCGUCCCCGCCCUGCCAGCGCCUCCCGGCCGGCGGGGCUGCUGCUGCCAUUUAUGGGGCUCCCCCGCCGAAGAGAUUAGAUAAUGCUCUCCCUCAUGGGCCCCGGCACUGCCCUGCUCCUCCCCGGGAAGGGGCUGCUCUGCGUACCCAGGAGCUGCCUUUAAAAAUAACCAAGCGGGAGGGCAGCGUUCCCGUUUCCAUGAGAACACGGGGAGCGCAGCCUGCCACGGCAGCCCAGAUCUGGCCUUGGCUUUCUGACCCCGCAAGGUUUCUCCCCAGCUUUCCCCUGCUUUUACUCCCUUUCCUUCUUGGGGCUCCUUUGGGUGCGCCCUUGCUGUGGCCCCUGCUCUCUGCAACCUCCCCAAGCCCUGUGAGCCCACCUGGGGCAGCAAAGCCCCGUCCUGCCACCAGCAGCACCCCAAGGGACGCAGCACAGAGGGUCCCACGCCCAAAAUGGGCACAGCUCGGAGGAUGAAGCCCACUGCACAAAAUGGUAAUCUAAUCUCUGGUUGUGGUGGUCCCUGCUUAGGGCUGGCUUUAACUGGAAGUGAAUAAAUGGAGCUGAGAGGCAAAUCAGGAGGAGGAAAGGCAGACUAGCCAGAGGAAUGUGGAGCAGCCAAAGGAGCCUGCUGGCCUGCUGCUUCCCCAGGGGAAAAGCAAAGCAAACAGGAGAUGAAAAGCCAGUGAUGCCAUCUCCAUCCUCAGAAGAGUGCCUUGCCUACCACACUACCACAUUUUGUGUGUGUGGGUGGGUGGGUGGAGAAAAGAACAAAGAUCACUCAAAGUCUUCUGCUCAAGUUAUUCCAUGUUGCGUAAAAAUAUGGUAAUGAUCAUCUGAGGACAGGCUGGAGCCUAAUCCCUCCCAGGUGAGUGCUGCAGACAUUAGGCAAUAGCACCUUCCUUUUCCUUCUUGGCCUAACAAUGGAUGCUGAGCAAAAUGGAAAGCUGGAAGAAAGCAUUGCCCUGCCCUAGGCUGUGGUUGGAGCUGAGCAAGAAUCCUCUGCGGAGAGCCGGACUGGAGCAGGAGCCUCCUGUGCCCCAGGCAGAGCACUCACCAGGCAUCCAGCAGGUAAAACCACCUGGCUCCAUCCCUUAUUUUGGUGAGACAGGAGGCACACGGCUUGGCCACUUUGUCCUGGGAAGCAGGGGCCUCCCUGGAGCAGCUGGAGCUGCUCGGGAAGCAGCCAUCCUGUCCCGUGGCCUGGCUGGAGGC